CCUACGGGUGGCUGCAGUGGGGAAUAUUGGACAAUGGGCGAAAGCCUGAUCCAGCCAUGCCGCGUGUGUGAAGAAGGCCUUCGGGUUGUAAAGCACUUUCAGUGGGGAAGAAAGCCUUUGGGCUAAUACCCUCGAGGAAGGACAUCACCCACAGAAGAAGCACCGGCUAACUCCGUGCCAGCAGCCUCGGUAAUACGGAGGGUGCGAGCGUUAAUCGGAAUUACUGGGCGUAAAGCGCGCGUAGGCGGUCUGAUAAGCCGGUUGUGAAAGCCCCGGGCUCAACCUGGGAACGGCAUCCGGAACUGUCAGGCUAGAGUGCAGGAGAGGAAGGUAGAAUUCCCGGUGUAGCGGUGAAAUGCGUAGAGAUCGGGAGGAAUACCAGUGGCGAAGGCGGCCUUCUGGACUGACACUGACGCUGAGGUGCGAAAGCGUGGGUAGCAAACAGGAUUAAUACCCCAGUAGUC
rnacentral:rRNA from 1 species